CAAUAAGCGGAGGAAAAGAAACCAACAGGGAUUGCCCCAGUAACGGCGAGUGAAGCGGCAACAGCUCAAAUUUGAAAUCUGGCGCAAGCCCGAGUUGUAAUUUGUAGAGGAUGCUUCUGGCCAGCGGCCGUUCUAAGUUCCUUGGAACAGGACGUCAUAGAGGGUGAGAAUCCCGUAUGUGACCGGCGCGCAGCCUUUACGUAGCUCCUUCGACGAGUCGAGUUGUUUGGGAAUGCAGCUCUAAAUGGGAGGUAAAUUUCUUCUAAAGCUAAAUACCGGCCAGAGACCGAUAGCGCACAAGUAGAGUGAUCGAAAGAUGAAAAGCACUUUGGAAAGAGAGUUAAAAAGCACGUGAAAUUGUUGAAAGGGAAGCGCUUGCAACCAGACUUCGUAGCGAUGUUCCGCUGGUCUUCUGACCGGUCUACUCAUCGUCGCGAGGCCAACAUCGUCUGGGCCCGCUGGAUAAGACCUAAGGAAUGUAGCUUCCCUCGGGAAGUGUUAUAGCCUGUGGUGAUGCAGCGCGGCUCGGGCGAGGUCCGCGCUUCGGCAAGGAUGUUGGCGUAAUGGUUGUCAGCGGCCCGUCUUGAAACACGGACCAAGGAGUCUAACAUCUAUGCGAGUGUUCGGGUGUCAAACCCCUACGCGUAAUGAAAGUGAACGGAGGUGGGAAGCGCAAGCUGCACCAUCGACCGAUCCUGAUGUCCUCGGAUGGAUUUGAGUAAGAGCAUAGCUGUUGGGACCCGAAAGAUGGUGAACUAUGCCUGAAUAGGGUGAAGCCAGAGGAAACUCUGGUGGAGGCUCGCAGCGGUUCUGACGUGCAAAUCGAUCGUCAAAUUUGGGUAUAGGGGCGAAAGACUAAUCGAACCAU
rnacentral:rRNA from 1 species